UUAGGUAAAUCAUAACCACCCCCGCCCCCACCCCGCCGCCGCUCUGAGCCUCAUUCAUUCUCUGUAAACAAGGACAGUGCCUUCCUCAAAAGGUUGUUAUAGUAAUAAAAUUAAUAUUUACUUUAGUGUCUGGCAUAUAGUAAGAACUAAAUAAAUGUAAUACUAGGGGAAACUGUGACAUUGAAUGCUAAAGAUUAAUCCUAAAGGUCCCUCACUUGGUCCUAACAGUGUAGUCACAGGAUCAUACUUAGUGAUGUAUUGUACUUUUGUCUUCCUUUUCUUGAAGAUGUCCACCAAAAAUAUAUAUACCACAAGCCCCAUAAAAUCUCGAUCUGCCCCUAGUAGGCUUUCUAAUGUUGUGAAAAGAAUACAGGCUUUGGAAUCAAAAGACUUGUUCCCAAAACUUAUCCGUGUUACUUUGGGCAAUUAAUUCACUGACCUAUUCUGGGCCUGUUUUUUUUAACCAGGUAAUUUGAAGAUAAUAUCCAUCAAUCUGAAUUGUUGUGACAGUCAGGUUGAUGGACUGUUUGCAAGCUUGUUAAUAAGUGAGCAAAAUCUCUGAAGAUUUCAAGGUAAGAGUUAUAACUUCACAAAUUAGUAAUAGAAUGAGAAAACGCAAAUUUUGAAGGUUCAAAACAACUAGUUACUAUUCAGACUGAGAAAGCUACUCAAUUUUUUUAUCUGGAAAAGAAGAAUAAAAUUACUGUGUUUUUUCUGAAUUCAGCUGCAUACUUCACUUCCAUUCCCUCAGUUAUUCCAUCAUUUCUGUGAGAUAGGAAAUAACAGGAAAGCAUUCUUUUAAAACACAAGAAUACUUAAUAGAUUAAAAACAUUCCCCCAUUUAAAAUUUAUAGUAUUUCGAUUGGGAAUAUGGGAAGAGAAAUUUACAGAACUAUCCAAAUGGGGAAUAAGAAUGUUCCUUUUUGACCUGUUUAUCCUCUUAAUUCAAUUUGAUUUCAGCCAAAUUGGGUGAGGCUCUUUUUUCCGAAGUCCUUUUCCCAUAUCGUCAUUCCAUUCAGUGGUCUGAUGUGACUUGUCUCCUCCUUCUUGCCUCUGCCAGCACAGGCUGGUUUGGGCUGAUGCACUUCAUAAUCUACAUCACUGAUUAUGAUCUUUCCUAGCAAGUAUUUGUUUUAGGCAUGGUCCUACAUAUUUACCAGACCUGUCUACUUUCUUGACCCUGGCUGACCCUGAGCUUGCUCCUUCCUUCUUUUUUCCUCUCUCCUUCUGUCCCUUCCUCUAUUCUCACUCCCUCCCUCCCUUCUCUCUUCUAGGCAGGUGGGCUGAGAGUAGGGGAAUAAUAAUACCAAUAAAUUGAUGAUAGCUAAGAUUUAGGAGAUAUUUGUUAUAUGCCAGGCAUUGAUUGAUCUAAGCACUUUAUUCAAAUUAACUCAUUUACUCUUCAUAAAAAUGCUAUGGACUGGGUACUAUUAUAAUCCCCAUUUUACAGACCUGGUGGCUCAGAUAGUAAAGACUCUGCCUGCAAUGCAGGAAACCCGCGUUUGAUCCUGGGGUUGGAAAGAUGCCCUGGAGAAGGAAAUGGAAAUCCAUGCCAAUAUUCUUGCCUGGAAAAUCCCAUGGACAGAGGAGCCUAGCAGGCUAUAGUCCGUGGAUUCACAAAGAGCUGGACACGACUGAGUGACUAACACAUUUACUUUCAAAGUUACAGAGGUAACAGAUACAGAGAGGUUAAGUAACCCAAAGUCACACAAUUAACAUUGUCUGGAGUUAACAGAAAAUAGUCAUUAUUUGGUUCUCAGUAUACCCGCCUGCCAAUGCAGGAGAGAAAUAGAUGCAGUUUCAAUCCCUGGGUUGGGAAGUCCCCUGGAGGAGGGCACAGCAACCCACUCCAAUAUUCUUGCCUGGAGAAUCCCAUGGACCUAGGAGCCUAGCGGGUUAAGGUUCAUAGGGUUGCAAAGAGUCAGACAUGACUGAAGCGACUUAGCCUAGGCUAUAAAUACAUGAGUAGAAAUGGUCAUUUGCGACUUAUUAAUACCAUAGGAGACUAAUCAAUAGACUUUGAAGGUCAUCUUAGGAAGACCAUGUUCUAAGUUGCUUCUACCUCAGCUAAACAAUCAUUACCAAAAAUCUGUUGGCCAUAAAAGCUGCCUUUGUAGCUAGAAAGUUCCAAGAGAACCAACCCCCUGCUUAUCUGAAUCUGGAAUAGUUGUGAAUCUCUGGGCAGCUAAAUUGGGGGUGGAGAUGUUAGGACAUCUUUUUGAACAGCUAAAUUUUAAGAUCACCUAUAUUCCAGAAAGUUCUGGGUGUCCUGGCACCUACAUUCCAUGCUGUGAGAUCCUUCAGUGAGAGUACCUGGACUCUUCUUAUGGCCUUCAUCCAACAGCAGCAGCAGGCAGUUGGAACUCCUGAACAUCUGUACCUCAGACCUAGUGUGAGUCAGGAGAGGGUUGCGUGCAGGAGAGGGAAGCCUCUUAAGUCAUAAUGAUCAGCUUUAUGUGUCCACUUGGCUGGGGAGCCAGGCCUGGUUGUUCUAACUGUACCUUGAUACUGCUGCACUGGUGUACAAGAUGAGGCUUGAAUAAAGCACAGAAAUCAAUCUGUGGUGAGCUCUGAGAACCCUGACUCUUCCGCAGUGCCCUGCACAUACAGCACCUGUGACACCUGUGACAGGUGAAGCCGGGGGCUCCAACACUGCUUCUGAGCUGUGUACUAAUAAAGUGAAGCCUCUCCCCGCCCAGGAGUUCAGAUGUCAUGCCUAUCGUAUUUUACCCUGACAGGCCUAUUUUUUGAGGUUGUAGAAUAAGGCCAUACUCCUUUGGAUAGGGUAUAAAGGUUUUCCUAAAUAAGGUAAAUGUUUUCAUCAUCAGUCGCUCAAAGAAGAGAAUUCUCACACCGGACAACUUGGAACAUGGAACAGGUAAGGUGGCACUUCUCGAUUUACCUUCUUAAGGUUUGCACUUAGAGGAGUUAAGAAAUGUUGAGGAUCUGCCUCACUGAUGCUGGGGAAAUGGCCUCUGCCAUGGAGCUUCCUAAUAUUAAUCAGGCAAAGAGGUUUUCCUGGACACCCCAAAAUGAAGGUAAAUACUCAUGUUUUGUUAGUCUGCUUAUUGAAACAUCACUGUACUUAACCUUGAACUUCAGUCAUGUUUCAUCUAAAUCAAGGAUUCAAAUUGAAAAGCCCUCAAGAACUAAGAAAAGGUAAUCAGCUCACUGUAAGAUAGUAAAGACUUUACUGGGUAACUCAUUUGGUGAAGACUGCCUGCAAUGCAGGAGACCCGGUUUCCAUCCUUAAGUGGGGAAGAUCCCCUGGUGAGGGAAAUGGCAACCCACUCCAGUAUUCUUGCCUGGGAAAUCCCAUGGACAGAGGGGCCUGACAGGCUACAGUCCAUGGGGUCUCAAGAGAUGGACACAACUGAAGUAGCUAAACCACCACGGCCACCACCAAGAUAAUGAAAAAUGGUGAGCAGCAUGGAGAAAGAGUUCAUAUCCAUCUAGACAUCCGAGUUCAUGUUUUUCAAAUGAAACAUUUCCCCAUAUAGCACUAACAGUACAAGUUUACCUGAGAUUUCUACAUAACGUUAUUCAGUAAUUCAAAGAAAAUAGAAUUCUUUAAAUUGCAAACUAUUUUUAAUAAUAAGUGGAAAACAAAAUUGUGGGGGGGGGGGGCAGUUAGAAAGUGAGUAAUGGGUAGGCAGAUGGGGAAUAGUGCAAACAAAUAUUGCAGCAGGCUAGUCUGCUCCAGCCUGGUCUCUGCUGAAGUAUUUAAGAAGCAGGCAAAAGGGGGAGUGCUCCUUCCAUGCCCCAAGGUGUCAGUGAUGAUUUAAGAAAGAUCUUCAAGGAAAAUCUUAGAACAAAAGUUUUCAUGACAAAGGUUUGACAGUCCCCUCCUUAUGAGGUGAAUCUCCUUCCAUUAUCUUUGGCAGAUCAGGAUUCAAGUUUAAGAGACCCUGUGGAUUGCCUUAUAACUUCAUCCACAGUUUUCUCCUAUCCCAGGUCCAUGGUUCCAUUUUGGUCACCAUGGCCACAGUAACUGAAAUGGUCUGCUUCAUUCUUUGCAGUGGACAGCCUUCAGCCCUGUAGUCCAAACCAACUGCUUAAAGAUGAGUUAUUUUCUCCCUAGUGUCUCAAACUCAUGGUCUCAGAAUGAGGAUUUUAAUUUUAUCUCAGUUUUGGAGAGCCCCCUUUAAAGGCUCCAUAUACCUAAUGCCUCUUACUGUUUACCACUUGUAAUCUAGUAGCAAAAAAGGAAGUGUAAUAUCUUGUAGUGAAAUAUCCUCUGUUCCAUGAUACCUACCUCCAGGAUAGCUGGUCUACCAAGUGUCCCCAAACCAGAAGUAUACUAACUCUUACCAAGCUCAGAGUAUACAAUUCCACUGCAGCUGUUUUGUUGUGUUUUUCCACCACUCCGUCAUUGUUUUGUCUCAGGGAUGCUUGCCAUAACCACAUCACCAGGAACCAGGAUCUGAAGAAGUUACAAUAAUGAGUUUUUUGCUCCUGUUUCCAAUGAAAAGAUAAAUUAAUCUUGGAGCCUUCCAACUUCGUAUGAAUCCCCUCUGGUUUGCUAGUCAUUUCAUUGACCAGCCCAGAAUUCUCUCCGAAGAAAGAGUUAAAGAGACAUGGUGCUUCAUCCCAGGCCUGCAGACCUGCAGUUGCUAUUCAGGAUUCAAUUCAUUCCAGGCUGUCACCAUAGCCUUGAGAUGAGAGAGACAGAACAGACACGAGAAUGACGAGCAGAAUUACCACCAGAUUGGCUUCUGUUCCACUCCUACCCUGAAGCCUCUCUGGGAGUUUUCAUUCUUCAAACCUCAGUUUUCUGCUUUUUAAUCAAUUCUGUUUGUGUAUUGUUUGGAGAAUAAAUAUGAAUAAGGUCUUGUGGGGAAAGAAAGGUCAUUCAGUUUUGACUCCAUUCAAUAAUCAUUUCUUUCUUAAAAAAUUGAAGUACAGUUGAUGUUGGGCUUCCAGAUGGCUAAGUGGUAAAGAAUCCACCCACCAAUGAAGGAGACAUGGAUUCAAUCCCUGGGUCAGGAAGAUACCCUGAGAAGUAAAUGGCAACCCACUCAAGUAUUCUUGCCUGGGAAAUCCCAUGGACAGAGGAGCCUGGCAGGCUACAGUCCAUGGCUUAGCAAAAGAGUCAGUUACAACUUAGGGACGAAACAACAACAAUAACCUGAUUAGCAACUGUUUGAAUCUGCCCUUUGCAACUCAGGGAAGAUUGUGGAGGCUGGGGUCUUGCCUGCAAGAAAUGGGAGACAGAAAGGCCUCUGUGCCUGCUCACUUUCAAUCACAGACCUAUCACAGACCAGAGCUGUCUGUGCUAUAUAGUAGGAUGUAGUUUCUCCAUCAUAUAUAUUAAUAUAAUAGUUUGAAUCUGCUAAUC